AGUGAACGCUGGCGGUAGGCCUAACACAUGCAAGUCGAACGGCAGCACAGUAAGAGCUUGCUCUUACGGGUGGCGAGUGGCGGACGGGUGCGGAAUACAUCGGAAUCUACUUUGGCUUGGGGGAUAACGUAGGGAAACUUACGCUAAUACCGCAUAGGACCUACGGGUGAAAGCAUGGGAUCUUCGGACCUCGCGCGAUUGAAUGAGCCGAUGUCGGAUUAGCUAGUUGGCGGGGUAAAGGCCCACCAAGGCGACGAUCCGUAGCUGGUCUGAGAGGAUGAUCAGUCACACUGGAACUGAGACACGGUCCAGACUCCUACGGGAGGCAGCAGUGGGGAAUAUUGGACAAUGGGCGAAAGCCUGAUCCAGCCAUGCCGCGUGUGUGAAGAAGGUCUUCGGAUUGUAAAGCACUUUUAGUUGGGAGGAAGGGCAGUAAGUUAAUACCUUGCUGUUUUGACGGUACCAACAGAAUAAGCACCGGCUAACUUCGUG
rnacentral:rRNA from 1 species